rnacentral:lncRNA from 1 species
CUGGCCAUUGCCCAAUAGGCGGCAAUGCCGCUUCGACGGACAGCUAUAUCAGCCAACCAGAGUUCCAGGAAGGCGGGCUCUGGACGGCCAGCUCCGCCCGCCCGCGGGACGGUAACCCCUGGCAACCGCGGCCGGAACGCCCGCGGCUGGCUGGCAGGUUGUACUGCGCAUGCGCCGCGGCGGCCGCUGAGCGUGCGGGAGAAGUUCGGGAAACGGAGAAAAAAACUAUACGGAACGUCCCAAGCUGAGAGUCAGGGCGGACCUGGACUCGGCGCGCCUAGCUCCUCGGCUCCCUUUGCGGGGACUCCAGGAGUCUGCCCGCUCGCGCCGUUUCGUCCUGUCACCCCGGCAACGGGACCCUCUAAGAGGCUUGUUCCAAAAAUGUUCACAAUGGGGUUUUUAAAAACGGUUUUGUUAGGGACAAGUGCUUGUGUGAGUCCUCCGACAAUGCCUGCUUUCUUCUCUCUGCCCGCGGAGCGGAGGCUCCAGGCCUGGCCCCAGUCCGAGGCGCCUCUGUCGGUGUCGUCCUGCUUCCAAAACCGGCCUCCAGAACCCGCCUCCUUCCAGAACCUCCGUCCAGAACCCGCCUCCCUCCAGAACCUCCGUACAGAACCCACAUCCUUCUAGCACCUGCCUCUGGAACCCACGUGCUUUCAGAACUACCUGUUUGUAGAACUUGUUUCCAGAACGAACCUGCUUUCCGAAUCUCUUUACUUCCAGAGCUUGUUUCCUGGACUGACCUAUUUUCAGAACCUACUUUCAAAACCAGCUUGCCUCCAGGACCACCUGCUUGGAGAACUGGCCUGCAGCCCCAGGACUGGACGACCUGAGACUGCACAGCUCCCUGCGGGGCUCACCCGGCUGUGUGUGUCCUUCCGGGCCUUCCAUACUUCCCUAGGUGUCUGGUGACUCCGGAGCCCGCUCGGAUUUCGUGUGGGUCUCGCCUCAGCUCAGAACACACCCUUUGAAGAGCAGGAAGGCCAGGGCACAGGCGGUAACCACGGCUCCUGGUCAUCAAGUUCCUCUGAAGCCCAGGUCUUGUCCACGUUCACUGCCCCACCACAGGCCCAGCGGAGCCUUGGAGCUGAGCCCUGGGAUCAUUCUGGUGCCUGUGCUCCCGGCUCCGCAACAAGCACACAGGAGCCUGUCAUCCCCAGAUCUAAAUCCUGAAGGCUAAGCUCCGUGGUCUGCCGCAGCCAUCUGCAGCAGGCCCCUCCCAGCAACAGCCUUCUCAUAAGGCCCCUGCCAGCCACGCGAAACCUCCUGGCUAGGGCCUGUCUUCCACUCCUGGCCUUUUGAGACAGGGCCUCACUCUGUUCCCCAGGCCGGAGUGCAGUGGUACGAUCACAGCUCACUGCAGCCUCCACCUCCUGGGCUCAUGUGAUCCUCCCACCUCAGCCUCCUGAAUAGCUGGGACUACAGGCUUGCACCACCACACCCGGCUAAUUUUUGUAUAUUUUGUAGAGACAGGGUUUCGCCACAUUGCCCAGGCCCAGGCUGGUCUCAAACUUCUGGGCUCAAGCAAUUCAUCUGCCUCAACCUCCCAAAAGUGCUGGAUUACAGGGAUGAGCCACCAUACCCGGCUUUUUUUUUUCUUUCUCCUGGCCUUUUGGGGCCCUUGAAGUGUCUGCUCCCUGGGAGCCCUUCAGCUUGUCGUCCACUUGGUGGGUUCCCACCCGUCCUUCUCACUUCUGCCUGAAUCACACAGGCUACAUGAGACCUUCACCCACCCCCUUCGCCAGCAGCUCUGUGGUUCAAGUUUCCUCAAGGUUAGGGGCUCCUGGCCAUCUUACCUGUGGGCCUGAGCAUGGGCCGAUGCUUCCAAAGUUCACACUGGGUGCACUUGUGUGGGGACUUCCAUGUGAGUCAUCUCCUUGCAGGCUGCCAAGGUCCUGUACAGCAGAGACCCAAACCCUCUUAGCAGUCUUCAGAGUCAGCUAUGUGUACAGGAGGCAUUACCAUAUCAGUGACUGUCAGCAAGCAUGUGUGACUGAAAUGGUAUCCAGUUCUUACGUAUUUGUUUUGCAGGCUUCUUGGUUCAGCAGACAGAGGCCAUUGGGAAGUUAAGAGAGGCUCUCAAACUUUGAGGGUCAUAAGACUUCCCCUCCCUGCAGGGUGCUGUUUCCUGAAGGAAAAUAUUCAAUUACUAUUUUCUUUAUUUAUUUAUUGAGAUGGAGUCUUGCUCUUGUCGCCCAGGCUGGAGUGUGUGCGUGUGCGUGUGUGCGUGUGCGUGUGUGUGCGUGCAUAUGUGCGUGUGUGCGUGUGUGUGUGUGUGUGUGUGUGUUGGAGGGGGGUGGUGCUGCCUUUUUCUUUGCAUGCUUCUGUGUUACUGGAUUUGGCACAGCAAGAAUGUAUCACUGCACUCAAAAAAUUUAGAGUUUCCUUUUUGUUUUUUUAAAUUAUUUUAGAUUUGGAGGUACAUGUGUGGGUUUGUUACAUGUGUAUUGUGCACUUCUGAAGUUUAAAAAUUUAGGGGGAAAAAUGAAAGGAUGGGAGGUGAGAAAGUAGAGGAGAAUUUUGGUGUGACAGGCAGGGAACUGGACAGCGGCGGGAGGGGCACGGCAGUGAGCGCCGGGACCUUUUGCAGAUGAGGUGAUAAUUGCUGAUGGGGCUGCUUUAUGCUCGUUUUCUCUUUUGUAAUUUAUAAAGAAAAAAAAAUUGAGACAGGGUUUCGCCCUGUUGCC